rnacentral:RNase_P_RNA from 1 species
CGGGCCGUCCGACCCGUCGCUGUCGCCCGGGGGAUUCCUCUGGGCGGUAGAGCAAAGUCCGGACUCGUAGCAGAGGCCGCUCGGGCCAACAACCCGAGGGGCGGUGACGGCGAAAGCCGUGCAGGCGCAAGCCCGCCGCCACGUCAAGUGCAACAGAGAGCAGACCAGCCGAUGGACCGUAGGGACGUUUCGCGAAACGUCCCUACGUCACAGGUGAUGGGUGAAAGGGUGGGGUAAGAGCCCACCGGCGGUAUCCCGAGAGGGACCGGCCAGGUAAACCACCGGUGCGAGCAAGCCAGAAUGUCCCGGUCGCCGCGAGGCGUCGCGGGCUGGUAGGCGCAGCCCUCCACAGGGAGGGCUCCGUAGGGACGUUUCGCGAAACGUCCCUACGGAAGAUGGAUGGCGGGAUAGAGCAGAAUCCGGCUUACGGGACGGCCCGGGCG